AUACAUCUACUUCUUUGAAUAAAUCAAAAUUCGCUGGCUUAAAUAUAGUCUAUCAUUUGUUUCUAGGGAAGGGUUCAAAUGUGAGAUUAAUCAAAUGACACUGGAACUCAAAUAUUGUGCGUGUUUUUUUAAGGUAGAGGAGAACGUCGCAGAGAAAAAGGGAAGGAAAAUACACCUUUGGAUUGUUGGCAUGCAUUUGCACACGGAGGAAAGACCAAAAAAGGAUAAAACACACCAAAGUUUGUUCAAUCCAGCCAGUCCCCAGCAAAGC
rnacentral:lncRNA from 1 species